GUAUGAAAUACAGUACAUCAAACGCUACACUGUACAAGAUAGGCACCCUGCCAGCCCAGGGAACGAUUACGCUAGCUUGUCUUUAGUGUGCUUACAAAUGAGUAUAGCUGAGGCAGUGCGCAUCUCUUGGGAGAUGUAUGAAAGUUAUGAGAGAAGGAAGAUAGCCAGACAGAAGGUAUUUUCUCUCGAGGAAGCUUUAACCUUCCCUCUCUGCAAAGGCAGGGAGAGAUGAGGGGGCCACUCCCUCGCCCCCGGUCCCCGCAGCUCCCACCGCUGCUCCUCUCCCCCCUGCCGGGGCUCCGGCCGAGACUCCCUGGGCUGCCGAGUCCCCUCCGCCGGCGGGAGCGCGGCAGGGCUGCCAGGCGGGCAGUUUUGAAGAGUCGAUCUUCAUAAUACAAAUCCCCCGGCUUCGCCUCCCCGCCAGCAGCGCGAGCCAGCUUUUUAAUUGAAUCCCGGGGAUUUGGCCGCAGCCGAAAGCCCCGAUUCGUGCUCCAGUGUCGUGGGUCCCUGGGAAGCAGGCCAAUGGAUAAUUACCCCUCACUGCAAUCCGCAGAGCUGGCCUAAUCCGAAAGCUCAAGUGCCCGAUGAAGGCUGUAGCAGAUCAUUGACUCGAAGUCAGGACAAAGUCACUCGCAGAGUGCACGGUGGAAGAACAGGUAAGGGAUGCGGGCUUCAUCACCAUCUUUUUAGCAGUGCGGUGGGUGACAAGAUAUCUGCUUUCCCCUCACCUCUCCUAGCAGCCAGAGAAAGAUGUGAUCAGAUGGUCUUCGACUACAACAGGUGGGAACAGAAAAAUAAAUACAUCUCGAUGUAUAUCUCAUUGAUUGAUUGAAAUGUUGCUUAAGUACCAGGAAGCUCUUUUGCCUUUUAGAUGCACUAAACGCCAAGACGGCAAGAUGAGUGAUGUAAGCAGCUAUUGGCUGGCUGCGUUCAAGCUGCGACGCAUUCCAUUUAUUUUAAUCGCUCCUUCAUUUCGGAAGAAAGCUGGGGAGACGAGGGCAGAGCUACUUAUCCCACCUCCGUGGGCACAAGCAGUGCCCCGGCGUGCGGGAGCCCCCGGCGGCGCGGAGACAGGGAGCGCGCAGGAGGCGGCAGCGGGGGCGCGCCCUGCCCGGCCGCGCACCUUCCUCCUCCCCUUAUCCCCUCACAGCCUUCAUUUCUGCAACGAGAAAAUUAGAGAAGAGAUGGGGCACCCAAACGCAGUGCUCGCAGAGGAGGCUGCCCUGGUAGUUAUUCAGGCUAAAAAUCUGCUGUCAACUUCUCUCUUUUUCUUUUAUUUCUUCCCCUUCCAACCCCGCCCCCCCCCCCUUUUGUUUUUCCGCAGGACCAGCAAGGUGCUGGUGGGCUGAUUUGUUUGCUUUUAACCAGGCAUGCUGCGAAUUGUGGAAGCUUUCCAUUUACCUUUUCUUCUUGAAGCGUUUUAAUUAUCAUCACUGACCUGUUGGGCAUACCUACAGUAUCAAUGUCCCUUUUACAUCGCUGCCUUCCCUUUCUCUGCAUGUUUCUGCUAUUUAACACUUGCUACCUUUGCCUUUAGAGUCCUAGAGUGACCCCCAUGGGUAUCUUUGAAAGAAAGACCCUCUGCAUUCCAGCACUGCCUCUUUACCCAAGUAAUAGCAAAGGGACCAUUCAGACACAUGGACCACACUGAAGCAUUAAUUAGGCUGAUGAAAUCCAUAGAAAUGUAUGGAUUCAGCAUAAUCGAGUUUCUUCUGCUGACUAUAGUUAAGGAAUACGUGAGCAGCUGGGAGAAUAGAAAGUACUGUUAGGGUGAAGUCAUGCAUGUAAUUGAGUAUAUUUAACAUAACCAUUUUAAUGAUCGGUGAUUAAAAGUGCAUCUACUUAAAUUGUAUACCUCUGCAAUUUGUCCAUAUCAACUUUAGAGAACACACAAAGAAAAGGUCGUCAUAUAAAUUUAUAAACAAGAUCCCGUCCCGACUACACAUGACUCGAGCUGGAUGAUAACAGCGGCGACGGGGUAAAAGGCCUUUCGCAAGAGAGCAGCUAUGCCAGGGCGAUAUUAAUUAAUCACUGGCUUGGCCCCUUUCUCUCCUAUGCAGUCACAGUAUAAGAAGUGCAUAAUAAGUGAGUUUUCUUUUCAUCCGUAAUUAUUUAUAACAAUUGGAUCCAUCGGAAAAAAAAAAAAAAAAAGCAUUAAAAAAACCCAAA